GAGAGCGCACAGCGCACCCUAACGAGCGGAAACUCCGCGUUCCCCGCGUCUACGCGCACAGGGUGCGCUGUGGACGCGACCUCAGCGGGACGACUCGCGGUGGACACUGAAGGCCCGGGGCCGCUAGUGGCCACCGCCAGGCCAGCACACGAAAGGCGCGAAGGAGCCUCCGGGCAGCGGCAGCGGCUGGGACCCCGGGCCCCCCGCGCGGGGUCGGCGGGCAGGGGGCGUCGGCGCUGCAGGCUGUCCCGGGAAGAAGCCGGCGGCCGCAGAGCGCCAGGAGGCGGAAGAGCGGAAAGGGUACGACCGCCUCGGACCAGAGAGCCCAGGCCGUGCGGGGCCCGGGGCAGGUGUGGGCACGGCCUUGACAGGUGCACACAGGGCGCGAGGCAAAGGGAACGGGGCCUGAGGCAAGCGCGAGCUGGCCCCGCGGGGCGGGCGGACCCGGCCAGGUGUGGGCUGGGCGAGCCCCGCAGCCGGACACACCGCCCUCCCGCUGCCGGCCCGGACCCCCAGGCCGGGAGCCCCCCGGGUUGCACUUACACAGCCGGUGGCCCCGGGCCCGGAGCGGGAGCCAACGGCCUGGCGGACAGCGGGUCCGGGCAGCCUCUACAGCCGCUUCCCCGCCUCAGCACUGGAGCUCCCGGCAGGCGGCGGCGCCGGCGCUGCUACCGCGCGUGCGCGGAGGCUGGCCCCGGGCCGCGAUCCGCGCCGGGGUUUGUGGGAGGUCGGGGCGGAAGCGCGCGAGGGAGGCGAGGGGCGGGGAGGACGGUGACGCGGAGCGCGGGGGCGGCUGCUGCUCCCUGGGCCCGCCCUUUCUCCUGGCCUCCCGCCGACCCCUCCGGCGCCCCUCGCAUCCCAGAGCCGAGCGGGCAUCCCAGAGCCGAGCGUCGGGGUGCGAGUGCCGGCGCCGUCUCCGAUACAGCCCGGAGGCCGCGGCUAAGGGCUGGGGUUCUGGGGUCCCCGCCGCCCCCGUGGGCAACCUGGUUGGAUGGCCCCUGCGCCCAGGGUCAGGCUGUGGCGGGCCUCAGAACCAGAGCAAGGAGACCUCUGUGCGCGCUUUCCAAAGCAAUAUAUAUAUAUAUAUAUAUAUAUACACACACACAUAGCCUUUUUAAAGCCGCCUCCCCAAGAACUCCUGCGGCAGAGCGCCCGCAAGCCCCCGCCCCCUGUCCGGGUGUGCCUCCUGGACACGCCGGGGGUCCGCCGGUGCGGUAG
rnacentral:lncRNA from 1 species